AUAGUGAAAACAUUUAACAUGCUCUGUUGUUCUGUUUUCAGGAACAGUUACUUAAAAAGUUUCUGCCUGUUAUUGGACCUCAGUACUUCCUGGUUGUUGUUGCCUGUAUUUGUGAAGCCCAUCCAGCAUUUCCAACCCAACAAGAACAGACGGUGUGGAGAGCGACUUAUUGGAUUGGAUCCCAUCCAGCAGUGACUUAUAUGCUCAACCUAUAUGUCACAGAUGGAUCUGAACAUCCACACAGACCUGGAGGGGAGAGGAGCCACUAGAUUCUCAUUCUGGCCUUAAAAGCUAAAAUAGAGAACAUUCUGUUCAAAUAUUCAGGAUGGAGUCAUGAUCCACACUUCACUGUGUGGUCCUCAGGCUGGAGUGCAACCAGUUAAGCAGAUAUCUUUCACACAGCACACCUUCACUUUCUGAACUGAUGUUUUGUGAUUUGCUCUUUAACUGGAUGGUCAAGUCAAUAGAACAAGCAGAAAACUCUGCCUUCCUUCUGUGUGGCAGACAUCUUUAAUCUCCAGUGAUGCAGUCACGUUCAGAGCCGUGAAACUCUGGUGAAGGAAGAACAACCUGCAGACUGGGCCUCCAGUCUGCACAGCCCUGCUUCAUUAUGGCGCACAGUGGGGAGCCCAAGCACAUGGCACGGUAAUCCCUGCUGGAGCAGCCGCCAUGCUGUCAUUACCGAAACGGAGGCCACUCCUAACACCAACAUGCACACAGACGAAGGAAGGGCUGUAGUGACUGCAUAUAGACGAUAUCAAGAAUUAUAUUCUCCACAGGACCUGUUAUGCUGGUGCAGAUUUAUCCUCUGUUGUGAAUCGGAGGCAUGAUUUGUCCUGUUUGUUGUUGUUGAUGUCAUAUGCUUGCAGAUAUGAGAUGUGAGCCACUACUGUGAGGUUUAACACUGUUGCAUUUAAAUACAGUUCCGAUUAGAAGCUUAUACACACAUGGAUGUUGUGGGCAAAUUUAAAUUGACCAGUUUGAGGCUUUUAACUAGAUAUUUAAAUCAUUAUUUUCUGGGAAGCUGGACUGGUGAUGUAGCAUGUAACAUCCGUGGUUUUAUUUAGAUAAAUCUUCUUCAAUAAGUUGCAGAGAAAUUACCCAUCGACGGGGUUCUGAUGUAAUUCUGUCUGGAGAUUUAAUCUCUCACCUCGUCUGAAAAUCAUCUUUUAGACUGGUUGACCUCUGACCUGCUUUUAAACACCAUCCAUAAAGUUUUAUUAUAUUGUUGAGAUCAUGGCUGUUCAGAUGCAUCAUGGAAGAAUAUUGUGCUUCCAGAUCUUCCAAAACAAGUAAGAUAUUCUGAAUGAUGAGGAUUUAAACUCAUGAUCUCAAAACAUAUAUAUUGUUAACCUAUUUUUCUUAUGAAUCGCUGACAGAAAAUGCAAGACUCGUGCAGAGGCCCACAAAAAAUACAUAAGUUAAAAUGAAAACUUGUAUUUUGCUUUUUUGCUUCUGACUGAUAUUUCUGAUCUUGGCCAGACAAUCAUGGCUGCCUGAAGACUGAGCCAGUCUUGCAUAAACAUUGCUAUGUUUGGUUUUAUUUUAUUUUAUAAUAUCAAACUGAUUGUUGUU